CUGGUCUGGUAGUUGGCAACCCUGCACAUGGCUGGGGGUUGAAACUGGAUGAUCAUUGUGGUCCUUUUCAACCCAGGCCGUUCUAUGGUUCUAUGAUACUAUGAUCGUGUCCAAACACAAAGUCCAGUCAUAGCAGUCUUCAACACAGUCCAAAGAAUAGCGGGUGCCUGCUCAAAGGACUGCUAAAUUCUUCCUUUUGCCAAUUCAGAGUCUCCUGAUUUGUUAGUAAUCCUUCCUUUCUCCCAGUUUCUCAUCCUAUCAGGUGUAUUAGCACUGUACUUGAGUUGGUGGAAAUUCAGGAAAUCUUGCAUAUGAAAAAAAUGCCUUUAGCUUCUCUUUAUUUAUCUUUUAUUUCCUUAGGUCCACAGUAGAAAGUAUUCAUUCUUUUACUGCCACUUGGGUUUUUCUUCACAAAAUAUUUUUGUAGAUUUUGCCUCUUGCUAAAAAUACCUUCUUAGACGAAUGGUAAAUUAUGCAUUUUGUUCGUCUUGAUGAGUCCAUGAGAUAUGCCAGCACUUGAUUCAACCAGCAGGAAAACAGUGAGUUCCUUGAAAUAUUUUUCAAAAGCAUUAUGUCGUUGUAUGUCUUUCCUUUGGUCUUGUUCAGACCUUCCUCCUGAGAUAAUUAUGUGUCUGUGCAAGCUCAUUUUAUUGAGGAGCAAAAGGCUUUGUCUGUUAGAAUUUACCAGAAGCAACCACUAGUGUAAUAGGUACUUUCUGCUGUAGAGCUAAGUAAAAAAAAUGUUACAUCUACUCCUGUUAUUCCAGUACUUAUGUAUGUUCCAGUACAUUCCUGUAUGCUAUGAAAUAGCCAAAACAGUAAACUAGCAUUCCUGCAUUGAGAGAAAAGUGCUAAAGGUUCUGCCCAUCUUACCAAUUUCAUUUAGAAAGCCAGGAAUGCAAAGUGGAGCAACGCUACACAGUGUGUUCAGUGGCUGUGUGAGUGGUCUUUCUAAAGCAAGUAUUGCCUUACUCUGGGGCCCGGGAGGGAACAAAAGCAGUUUUGAUAUUUUUUUUGUUCAGAUCUAUUGUAGUCUAGUUUAAUUUGCAAAUAAAUGCCUCAGACCCAAGAAAUCCAGAUCUCCACUCUCAGUCUCACCACGACCACCAUCUCAUUUUGUGAUCAUGAUGAAAUCUGAAUUAAGAUAUCCUUUGGGUAAUGAUGAUGCCGUUUAGCAAACCCUGUGUGGUGCUGAGUUUUUCAAAAUUGCAACUCUCUUCUAUUUCUUCUGCCCUGCAUCUGUUAAAAUCAUUGCCAGUAUCAUUUUUGACAGCUUGGAGCUGUAUCUGAACACCUGUUAUUCAAACCCCAAAGAAACUGUCAGAAACGAGAAGCAUCGUUUAAAUAAAUACAGAUGACAACAACAGUGUGGAAAAGAAGCAUAAACAGAAUUUGUUACGCUUUUAUUUUCUAGAAUGCUACAACUGAGAAAUUCCUGCAAGGAAAAGCAGGUCUGGGCAGCCACCACAGGUGCUUCAUUAAUCUGUUGCAACUGACACAGAUUGACGCUUAACGUACUGCCAUGAGUGGAUGAUUACAAUCCCCAUACCCUGAAGGGCAUUUUCAUGUUACUUCUUUAUGAAUAAUCAAGAAUGGAAAAGAUGUAAAGAUUGGACUCUGAAGUAAACAGAAAGCUUACUCAACUCAUACCACUACACUCAUUAGGACAGGUGUUUGAAAUACGCCUGCAAUGCAUGCUUUCUCUUGAAGAUGGACUGCACUGAGCUGCCUGGAGGAAUGAAACUUGCUUGUCCUGGCUUUUCUCAGUGUACUUUGAAAGACGUGGGAGGGGGACAUCAGGGUGCUCAGAUCUGAGUACCUUCCCUUGUUAGUGCUGUAAGUUCUUUCUUAGCAGAGGAAACUGUGACCAAGUGAAUAUAUGUCAUUAUCUCAAAUGAAACAUGAUUGUAUUUCCUAUUUUUUCUAACAGCACAGAGGUCAUUCUAGACAUUUCCAAUCCUGUAAGUUCAUCAAUUUCAUCAGUUCUGACCUUUCCUUCAUUUUUUGUUACUGCAACUGUAUCUCAGCUUAGGCUAGCGGAUGCUUCACUUGUCAUUUUUGUCCCUGGCCCAUGGAGACAACUGAGAUCCAGGCACUCAAAAACCCAGCACGGACGUGCACUCUGCUGUUCAAGCUGGUUCCAGGCAUACAAGGAUAUAAGCAUGAAAAUGAUACUGUUCUAUACAUACCUGUUACCAAAAAGUAAUCUCAAUCAUCUUUGAACUGGUGACCAAAACUCUAAGCAUGUAAUAAUUUAACUUGCUUUAUUACAUAAUAAUAAUUUAAGAUAAAUCAAAAUUUGUUAAAAUUUAUUGAGUAAAAUUUCCAGUGGGUGUUUUUUCCUCCAGGAAAUGUAAGGAGUUCUGCAACAUGAAAAUGGGUUGAAAAGCCUCUAUCUAAAGACAUACCUCUGUGCCACAUAUUUUCUUCAGAGCUACCGAUAUGUUCUGGUGUUACUUAUGAUAGAGUUUCCAUCCAGAACUUGUCUGAAAUCUCACAGCAAACUGACAGAAGCCGUGGGAGAAACUGAUCGAUAAUUCCCAGUAUAAUUUGUGAUAUACUGCUGCAUGACAGUGAAAUUAAAAUGUUAUUGAAUUAGAGAAAAUAUUUGAUUGGUAUAAGUGAGUAUUUGGCCAGAAUUUGACCUGUGGAAAGCUGGAUAAAGGUGGUAUCACAGUAGUUUUGAAGAAGUAAAAAACAUUUUUUAAAUAGUUCUGUUUACUGAAUACAAAGGAUUUAACGCUAUCUUAAAAGUGAAUAAAAAAUAAAAAGCACCUCUCUCACCUGACUCUCAGACAGCGUGAUGCUGAAGAGGAGGUGCCACCAGGGCUGGCAUGCAUGCUGCAGGCUGCUGAGGAGGGCAGGAGUAAAUGGUACUGGUGCCAUGUCUGCUGGCCACGUCUACAUCUCGAGAGGUGGAAGGCAGUGUGGAGCACGGAGCUCAGCAGAAACCUGACCGAGUUUUGCCUGUGGUCUUUUUUUUUAAUAGGUCUGCUUCAGACUUAUACAGAUUUCACUGUAAUUGCUAGUCAUGACAGUCUUCAAAUGCUGAAGGUGAUCAAAGGCAUCAGCUUAAAAAUACAAAGCUGGCAUUACAAGGAAGUGAUUUAACCUCUCUCGGUAGGCAGGUGUGUGUUGGGAGCAGAGAGGGGUUCAUUGCUUCAGGCAUCUAAAUUGCAGCUGUAGUGAAAAGCAGCAAUUUGUCUAAAUCCAUGACAAAAAUCCUUCUAAACUGUCCUAACAGAUCUGCUCUGUAACCUGACUGUACGGGGAAAGAAUAAUUUUAAAAAGCAUUAAGAUUUAAUAAAUGAAAUAAAAAUAACGUGUUUAUGCUCUA